GCGAAGGUGGCGGAAUUGGUAGACGCACCGGGUUUAGGUUCCGGCGCCGCGAGGCUUGAGGGUUCGAGUCCCUCCCUUCGCACCC
rnacentral:tRNA from 1 species